GACGAACGCUGGCGGCGUGCUUAACACAUGCAAGUCGAACGGAAAGGCCCUGCUUUUGUGGGGUGCUCGAGUGGCGAACGGGUGAGUAACACGUGAGUAACCUGCCCUUGACUUUGGGAUAACUUCAGGAAACUGGGGCUAAUACCGGAUAGGAGCUCCUGCUGCAUGGUGGGGGUUGGAAAGUUUCGGCGGUUGGGGAUGGACUCGCGGCUUAUCAGCUUGUUGGUGGGGUAGUGGCUUACCAAGGCUUUGACGGGUAGCCGGCCUGAGAGGGUGACCGGCCACAUGGGGACUGAGAUACGGACCAGAAUCCUACGGGAGGCAGCAGUGGGGAAUAUUGCACAAUGGGCGGAAGCCUGAUGCAGCAACGCCGCGUGCGGGAUGACGGCCUUCGGGUUGUAAACCGCUUUCGCCUGUGACGAAGCGUGAGUGACGGUAAUGGGUAAAGAAGCAACGGCUAACUACGUG
rnacentral:rRNA from 1 species